rnacentral:piRNA from 1 species
UAUCCUUUCUGGAAGUCUUGAACCUUCAC